GCGUACGGCCAUAUCAGCCUGUGUACGCCCGAUCUCGUCUGAUCUCGGAAGCUAAGCAGGGUCGGGCCUGGUUAGUACUUGGAUGGGAGACCGCCUGGGAAUACCAGGUGCUGUAAGCA
rnacentral:rRNA from 1 species